rnacentral:SRP_RNA from 1 species
GCCAGGUGUGGUGAUGUGCACCUGUAAUCCCAGCUACUCGGGAGGCUGAGGCAGGAGAAUCACUUGAGUCCAGGAGGUGGAGGUUGCAGUGAGCCGAGAUUGUGCCACUGCAACACCAGCUUGGGUGAUAGAGUGAGACUCUGUCUCAA